CUCUCGUCUUGGCAGCACCUCGCUCUCCAGCCGUCUUAUCGUCGGUAGUAGAGGACUUCACCUGAAUGUCAUGACAUCUGAAAUAUCAUUGAGAGUGGCUGGGUAGCUAUAUCAGCCAAUUCCCUCAGUACACUGGGAUGAAUCUUGUUGGGACCCUCAAGCUUACGGAUGUUCAAGCUCCUCAGGUUACUAUAUAAAGUUAAUAUAAUUAACACAAACUAGUAUUUGGAUGACUCACAUAAUUAAUCAGAGCCCUGCAAGCAAAACUGAUGAAAUUCAGUCCCCAAGGUGCCUUUUAAUAUGUUAUGUAACAACGUACAGUCUAUGUGAAACUUGAAAUGUGACAGAAAGUUUUGGACCAUAUGCCAAUGCCAAUUUUUAGGAAUUUUUUUGAAACCAGUUAUCAGAGUUUUAACUUCCACAAGAUACGGGCUCGAGUGCACCCUCUGCAAGUUUGCCAAUGACACCAAGCUGUGUGGUGUGAUACGUUAGAAGGAAGGGACGCCAU